rnacentral:rRNA from 1 species
AAUUUUGGACAAUGGGGGAAACCCUGAUCCAGCCAUCCCGCGCGUAAGAUGAAGGCCUUCGGGUUGUAAAGUACUUUGGGCAGAGAAGAAAAGGUAUCUCCUAAUACGAGAUACUGCUGACGGUAUCUGCCGAAUAAGCACCUGCUAACUACGUGCCAGCAGCCUCGGUAAUACCGAGGGUGCAAACGUUAAUCGGAAUUACUGGACGUAAAGCGUGUGUAGGCGGUUCGGAAAGAAAGAUGUGAAAUCCCAGGGCUCAACCUUGGAACUGCAUUUUUAACUGCCGAGCUAGAGUAUGUCAGAGGGGGGUAGAAUUCCACGUGUAGCAGUGAAAUGCGUAGAUAUGUGGAGGAAUACCGAUGGCGAAGGCAGCCCCCUGGGAUAAUACUGACGCUCAGACACGAAAGCGUGGGGAGCAAACA